GUGGCUGCUUUUCUAAGAAAUCAAAAUUGCAGUUACUCUUUUCCCAUUUCUUUUCUCCGCGCUUUGCCUCUCUCCUCUUUCGAGAAACGAUCCAAAAUAGGAACAUCACCAUUGCCGUUCAUCAUAGCCAGUUUCCUCCUCCUCUUCAUCUUCUUCUUCUCUAUCGAAACCGCCAAGGAUGAUUAAGUUUUAGAUCUGGUUAUGGGUUUCUCUUUUCUCACUUGGGGUGUUGUCAGAUCUGCUUGCAUCGCUCUUCACGUCUUUCCUCCCUGUUCUUUGCGUCCUCUAUUCAUCACCCUCCAUUUUUCAUGCCUGUCGAACGACAUCUGGGAGUAAGUAGAUGUGCUUUUGGUGACUUCAUAUCUACCCUGAGAAGGAAAUGAGGGUUUGUUUGGACUCUUCUUCUCUACUCCUUCAUUAACUGCACUUCAGCUUCAUAUACUUUUUGUUCUUAAAUGGAUAACAUAGGUAAAGGUCCUCUUCAUGUGAUGGCCAAGCAGUAUAAUCAUGACAGCUGAACAGAGUUUGGUUCAUUAGCAACCUCUAAGGAAAACAUUGGACACAGUUAAAGAACUUGGAUAGAUGCCUUCAAUCAGUGGAUGCGGUGCUGAUAAAGGUACUUGUCUGAGAAGAAGGAAGAAGCUGCGUCCAAGUAAAUGGAUGUUGAUUUUGUUGGUACUAUGCAAUCUUAACAGAAUACUCUGCCCAAUAGAGUAGAGUAAAGCUGCAUUUUGCCUUUGAUAAUCCAAACUCAACAAUGAGUAUAUUGUUGUUGUCAUAGCAGUUAGUACCUUGAAUUUUCUUAACUAAGUAUUAAGUAUGUGUCCAACAAUUUUCUUAAAUUGUUGUUAUAGCAUGUCACAGAUAUUGUGAAAAGAGCUCUUAGCUGUCCUCUAAAAUUUAUUGCCACGAAUGCUGCGAACCUACUCAUAUUAGGCCUUUUAGAACUACUGCCUCUACAUAGCUUUCAUCUGACAAUUUUGCUUUUGCAAGAAAGGAAAAAAGGUUAUCCAUCUCAAGCAAGUGAACUUCAAAUAAGGUGGGCUAAAGUCGAAAAGAAAAGUGUAAAGUCAAAUUUCUAAAAUUUUAAUUUAUCAAGUGUUCUGUUAUGUAAGGUUUUAUACUUUUGCUUCCAUCUUAUGUUCACACUUAUUCAUGUUUUAUUGUCGAAGGGAGGGAAGGAGAGAUAGACAAGAGGGGUUUCUUUUUGAGUCUUCAUUCCAUUCUUUUGCCUAAUCUAUUAGUUUUUUUGGGAGAAUGACAAUUAAGGACCUUCUAAGAAUAUUAAUUUCAAUUAUGGACUGUGAAAUUUUGAAAUCCUAGUUAAGGACUAUGGUCCUUAAUUGUGAUAAAAAAAAAAUGUAAUUUGUGAUGUGAGAUUCACUAACGCAACUUGGGAAUUCAUUAACUUAACUUAAAAAAAUUACUAAUGUAUUUGCUUAGAUAGUCUUGAUGGAGUAGAUUUAAAAAAUAUUGUACCAGACAUUGUUCAAGGUGUAGGAAGGAUGAAUGAGUUGAUUAGCUUGUGUGCCUUGGUUCUGAUUCAAAUUUAGAAUGCAUUGUAGAUGCAACUUCUCAUAAUGUUGAUUUGUUUUAAGGAGAAACUUUGUUUCCAAAGGUAAUCAAGCUAAUAUUGUAGUCUUUGACCAAUUUGAAAGAAGUUUGGCGCCGUCCACCUUUACUUUUCUUCUUUGAGAAAUUGCAAGAAUUGCAUGUAUCUAAUUGUCCUAUGUUGACAUCACUCUUCCUAAAGUGUGUUGUCGAAGCUAUGCUAUGGUUACAAAAGGUAACUACAGUAAGUUGUGGUGAACUGAAGAAUAUAACAGACGAGGAUGGUGGUAUCAGCAAUGAAAUAAUUUCAACUUCAAACAAUGCACAUCCAGUGUUCUCACAAUUGAAAAGUUUGACCAUCUCUAAUUGUGACAAGUUAGAAUAUGUAUUCUCAAACUCUCGUGUUCAAGGCCUUGUGCAGUUGGAGGAGGUGUGUAUUGAAAGGAUGUCUCAACCAAAAUAUGCUUUUGGUCAAUAUGAGGAUAAUCAUCAAGAGGUUCAGAUCAAGCUUCCUUUUCUAAAAUUACUCAAACUAAGUACUUGAAAAAUUUGCUCAGCAUUUUACCGAAAAACUAUCAUUCAAGUUGCCCAUCUUUGAGAGAAUUUUAUUGGGUGGGGUGUCCCAAAUUCCAAGCUUCAUGUGUUAACAUCAUGGUUGUUUCAAAUAUAAAUAUGGGCCACAAGGCAUACAGUGAGGUUUCAGUUCUAUCAUCAUUUCUCAAUUUAGAGAAACUUGAGGUGAAUCAAGGUGGUACAAAAGACAUAAUAUUUAUUUGUACGAAAACAAAUUCCAAAAACAAAUUAAUCUCACCCUUAGACACUCUGACAUUGAAUAAUUUGCCUGAGCUGAAGUAUGUUUGGAGUGGUUUGACGGGAACACUGAGCCUCCAAAAUCUUAGAGAAUUCAGAGUGAGUGGAUGCAACAAUUUAAGGACUAUUUUCUCCCCGAUAAUUCUAAGAAGCAUGCAACUGUUAGUGGGCAAUAGAGAUAUUCUCAUGUAUAAAGUUAAAGGAGCUGUUUGGACGUAGCAGUAAAGCCAGCAGUGACUAUGUCAAUGAAAUCGCGCUUCCAAACUUGAGAGGCAUAUAUCUGUCGAAAUUGCCAAGUCUUGUUGAUAUCUGCAAUGGAUUCAAGUUAUACGCUAUGAACCUUGAACGAAUUAGUAUGGAACAAUGCCAAGAUUUUCUUCAAUCAUGGGGGCAAUUGGGAGAAUAUACACUAGAAUAAAGACAAAGGAGGAAGCAGAGACUCAUAAGAACAACGGCAGUUAACUGCUUGAUCAACUCCCAUAUUUGUUCCCAGAAGACUUGACUUCAAAGGAAUUAGAGUUACAAAAGCUAAGUGAGUUGAGUUUCAUAUGCAAGGCUUUCAGUACACCCUCCCAAAAUUUGAGCUUCCAAAAUUUGAGUUUCCUAUAGGUUAUUUGCUGUACCCUAUAGUUUCUGUUUUUGUGCAACUAUCCUUUGUGAAGGCUUUCAAUGGGACUAACUAUGAUGAUUGCAAAGAGUCCCUGAAUAUGUAUCUUACCAUUUCUGAGAAAGAUUUAGCUCUGAGAGAAUCCAAGCCUGCGGAUCUCUUUUUUGAGUCUAGUGCUUCUGAAAUGGCCUUCCAUAAACAAUGCAGUAAGUCUAACCGAAUCUGUCUAGCGAUCAUCAAGUACACAAUUGAAAAAGAAAUUUGGGACAGCAUUCCUGAAAAGGAUACUACAGUGGAAUACUUGAAAGCUAUUGGUAAUAAAUACAAGAAGCUUGACAAGACUCAAAGAACUAUUAUUUAUUACUUCUUGAAAAUACUCGAUAUGAUAGAGUUUUUAGUGUCAGGAAGCAUAUUCUAAAACUUGUUCAUUACUAUAACAAGUUUAAAUCAUGUGGAAUUGACUUGGCUAAAAGUACCUUAGUUUACUGUGUUCUUCAAUCACUGCCAUCAGAGUACACAUUCUUGAGGACUUCAUACAGCUCACAAGAAGCUGAAUGGUUUAUUGACCAGAUGAUAUCAAUAGUCACUCAAGAAGAGGAAGCUAUAAAGAAGAAUCCUUCUCACUCAGUAAACUAUGUUUCUCAUGACUCUAGCAGCAAAUCUGGAGGGUUAUAUAAGAAAAAAGGGAAGAAGCAUGAGGCCCUAAAGCCUAAUAAUCUAAGUUUUAAGAAGGAUGGUGAUAAGAGUAAGAAGCUGAGGAAGAAACCCUUUAAGGGUUUAUACUAUUAUUGCAAGAAACCAGGUCACAUUAAAGCUAAUUGCUUCAAAUUGAAGAACAAACAAGAAAGUGAAGGGGCUAAGAAACUAGAAGGUUCUAAGUGAGGCACAAAGGUUAGUUUUUGGCAUAGCAAGGAGCAAAGCAUUAGUUGAAUGCAUCGGAAGUAUUUCUUUGUAUUUAAAUUCUAGUCAUGUUUUAAAUUUGAACAAUGUUGUUUAUGUACUUUUUGCGAAAAGGAAUUUAAUUUCAACUUCUGUAUUGGAUAUUUAUGGCUAGUCAUUCUUUUAAGGAAAUAGGAAAAUUGAUAUUUGUUUUGAUUUCAUUAAUGUUGGUUAUGCUUCCU